ACUCCUACGGGAGGCAGCAGUGGGGAAUUUUGGACACUGGGCGAAAGCCUGAUCCAGCAAUGCCGCGUGUGUGAAGAAGGCCUUCGGGUUGUAAAGCACUUUUGUCCGGAAAGAAAUCCUUGGCUCUAAUACAGUCGAGGGAUGACGGUACCGGAAGAAUAAGCACCGGCUAACUACGUGCCAGCAGCCGCGGUAAUACGUAGGGUGCGAGCGUUAAUCGGAAUUACUGGGCGUAAAGCGUGCGCAGGCGGUUUGCUAAGACCGAUGUGAAAUCCCCGGGCUCAACCUGGGAACUGCAUUGGUGACUGGCAGGCUAGAGUAUGGCAGAGGGGGGUAGAAUUCCACGUGUAGCAGUGAAAUGCGUAGAGAUGUGGAGGAAUACCGAUGGCGAAGGCAGCCCCCUGGGCCAAUACUGACGCUCAUGCACGAAAGCGUGGGGAGCAAACAGGAUUAGAAACCCCAGUAGUCCCAUG
rnacentral:rRNA from 1 species